CUACGGGGGGCUGCAGUGGGGAAUAUUGGACAAUGGGGGAAACCCUGAUCCAGCAAUGCCGCGUGUGUGAAGAAGGCCUGCGGGUUGUAAAGCACUUUCGGUUGGGAGGACUGCUUCUAGCACUAAUAUUGUUGGAAGUUGAUGUUACCUUCAGAAGAAGCACCGGCUAACUCCGUGCCAGCAGCCGCGGUAAUACGGAGGGUGCGAGCGUUAAUCGGAAUUACUGGGCGUAAAGCGCGCGUAGGCGGCUAGAUCAGUCGGGUGUGAAAGCCCCGGGCUUAACCUGGGAACUGCAUCCGAUACUGUCUAGCUUGAGUACAGGAGAGGAGAGUGGAAUUCCACAUGUAGCGGUGAAAUGCGUAGAUAUGUGGAGGAACACCAAUGGCGAAGGCAGCUCUCUGGCCUGAUACUGACGCUGAGGUGCGAAAGCGUGGGGAGCAAACAGGAUUAGAUACCCGUGUAGUC
rnacentral:rRNA from 1 species